rnacentral:tRNA from 1 species
GUGGCUGUAGCUCAGUUGGUAGAGCCCUGGAUUGUGAUUCCAGUUGUCGUGGGUUCGAGCCCCAUCAGUCACCCCA